rnacentral:rRNA from 1 species
GACGUAGGGUGCGAGCGUUGUCCGGAAUUAUUGGGCGUAAAGAGCUCGUAGGCGGCCUGUCGCGUCGGUUGGUGAAAAGCCCCGGGGGCUUAACCCCGGGGUCUGCAGUCGAUACGGGCAGGCUAGAGUUCGGUAGGGGAGAUCGAAUUCCUGGUGUAGCGGUGAAAUGCGCAGAUAUCAGGAGGAACACCGGUGGCGAAGGCGGAUCUCUGGGCCGAUACUGACGCUGAGGAGCGAAAGCGUGGGGAGCGAACAGG